UGAAUACGAGAUGCUACGGCAUCGAAGCAGUCUAUGUCAUACUUCCAAGAAAAGCUUGCACUGUCAUAAACAAAUAAUGCCUGUACCAUAACCGACACAGGUGGGUAGGUAGAGUAUACUAAGGGGCGCGAGAUAACUCUCUCUAAGGAACUCGGCAAAAUGACUCCGUAACUUCGGGAGAAGGAGUGCCUUAUUUUAUAAGGUUGCAAUAACAAGAUCCAAGCAACUGUUUACCAAAAACACAGGUCUCCGCUAAGUCGUAAGACGAUGUAUUGGGGCUGACGCCUGCCCAGUGCCAGAAGGUUAAAGAAGUUGGUUAGCAUUAGCGAAGCUGAUAACUGAAGCCCUGGUGAACGGCGGCCGUAACGAUAACGGUCCUAAGGUAGCGAAAUUCCUUGUCGGGUAAGUUCCGACCCGCACGAAAGGCGUAAUGAUUUGGAUACUGUCUCGGAGAGGGGCUCGGUGAAAUAGACCUGUCUGUGAAGAUGUGGACUACCUGCACCAGGACAGAAAGACCCUAUGAAGCUUUACUGUAACUUGAGAUUGAAAUUGGACUUUAUUUGCGCAGUAUAGGUGGGAGACGUUGAAAAUAUUCUUGCGGGAAUAUUGGAGUCAUCAGUGAGAUACCACUCUUAUAAUGUUAGAUUUCUAACUUUGUAUCAUUAUCUGGUCAAAGAACAGUCUCAGGCGGGCAGUUUGACUGGGGCGGUCGCCUCCCAAACGGUAACGGAGGCGCACAAAGGUUUCCUCUGAACGUGUAGAAAUCGUAUCUAGAGUGUAAAGGCAUAAGGAAGCUUGACUGUGAGACCUACAAGUCGAGCAGGGACGAAAGUCGGUCUUAGUGAUCUGACGGUGCUGAGUGGAAAGGCCGUCACUCAACGGAUAAAAGUUACUCUAAGGAUAACAGGCUGAUCUCCCCCAAGAGUUCACAUCGACGGGGAGGUUUGGCACCUCGAUGUCGGCUCAUCGCAUCCUGGGGCGGUAGUACGUCCCAAGGGUUGGGCUGUUCGCCCAUGAAAGCGGUACGCGAGCUGGGUUCAGAACGUCGUGAGACAGUUCGGUCCAUAUCCGGUGUAGGCGUUAGAAUAUUGAGAGGAGCCUUCUUUAGUACGAGAGGACUGAGAAGGACAUACCUCUGGUGUACCAGUUAUCGUGCCAACGGUAAACGCUGGGUAGCUAUGUAUGGAGAGGAUAACCGCUGAAAGCACCUAAGUGGGAAGCUCACCUCAAGAUAAG
rnacentral:rRNA from 1 species